rnacentral:rRNA from 1 species
AGAUUGAACGCUAGCGGGAUGCCUUACACAUGCAAGUCGAACGGCAGCACGGACUUCGGUCUGGUGGCGAGUGGCGAACGGGUGAGUAAUGUAUCGGAACGUGCCUAGUAGCGGGGGAUAACUACGCGAAAGCGUAGCUAAUACCGCAUACGCCCUACGGGGGAAAGCAGGGGAUCGCAAGACCUUGCACUAUUAGAGCGGCCGAUAUCGGAUUAGCUAGUUGGUGGGGUAACGGCUCACCAAGGCGACGAUCCGUAGCUGGUUUGAGAGGACGACCAGCCACACUGGGACUGAGACACGGCCCAGACUCCUACGGGAGGCAGCAGUGGGGAAUUUUGGACAAUGGGGGAAACCCUGAUCCAGCCAUCCCGCGUGUGCGAUGAAGGCCUUCGGGUUGUAAAGCACUUUUGGCAGGAAAGAAACGUCAUGGGCUAAUACCCCGUGAAACUGACGGUACCUGCAGAAUAA